GUGGGGAAUCUUCCGCAAUGGACGAAACCCUGACGCAGCGACGCCGCGUGAGCGAAGAAGGCCUUAGGGUUGUAAAGCUCUGUUUUAAGGGACGAAUGUCGUGGGGAGUAAUAUGCUCUGCGAAUGACGGUACCUUAAGAGGAAGCCCCGGCUAACUACGUGCCAGCAGCCGCGGUAAGACGUAGGGGGCGAGCGUUGUCCGGAAUUACUGGGCGUAAAGAGCACGUAGGCGGGAACUUAAGUCAGGUGUGAAAGACCGGGGAUCAACUCCGGGGUUGCACUUGAAACUGGGUUUCUUGAGGGCAGGAGAGGAAAGCAGAAUUCCUGGUGUAGCGGUGAAAUGCGUAGAAAUCAGGAGGAAUACCAGUGGCGAAGGCGGCUUUCUGGACUGACCCUGACGCUGAGGUGCGAAAGCGUGGGUAGCAAACAGGAUUAGAUACCCUAGUAGUCC
rnacentral:rRNA from 1 species